ensembl:ncRNA C09G12.18 ncRNA
UUUCUUAAAACGAUUUUUGCAGAAAACUUUUUUAUCGCAUUUUGAAAAGUUUUUUGUCUAGAUUUUCCGUAAAAAACGGAAGUUUUAAUUUUCAUACUUUUCAGUGAAAUUUCACUUAUUUUUUUGAUUAAAAAAAUGUACUUUUUAAAA